CCUACGGGAGGCAGCAGUGGGGGAUAUUGCACAAUGGGGGAAACCCUGAUGCAGCGACGCCGCGUGAGUGAAGAAGUAUUUCGGUAUGUAAAGCUCUAUCAGCAGGGAAGAAAAAAGACGGUACCUGACUAAGAAGCCCCGGCUAACUACGUGCCAGCAGCCGCGGUAAUACGUAGGGGGCAAGCGUUAUCCGGAUUUACUGGGUGUAAAAGGGAGCGUAGACGGCAAUACAAGUCGGAAGUGAAAUACCCGGGCUCAACCUGGGAAUUGCUUUGGAAACUGUAUGGCUGGAGUGCUGGAGAGGUAAGCGGAAUUCCUAGUGUAGCGGUGAAAUCCGUAGAUAUCUGGAGGAACAUCAGUGGCGAAGGCGACUAUCUGGCACAUAACUGACGCUGAGGAGCGAAAGCGUGGGUAGCAAACAGGAUUAGAUACCCGAGUAGUC
rnacentral:rRNA from 1 species